rnacentral:rRNA from 1 species
UACGUAGGGUGCGAGCGUUAAUCGGAAUUACUGGGCGUAAAGCGUGCGCAGGCGGUUUUGUAAGCCAGAUGUGAAAUCCCCGGGCUUAACCUGGGAAUGGCAUUUGGGACUGCAAGGCUUGAGUGCGGCAGAGGAGACUGGAAUUCCUGGUGUAGCAGUGAAAUGCGUAGAUAUCGCUUGGAACGCCAACGGUGAAAACAGGUUGCUGGGGUUGUGCCGACGCUGAGACACGAAAGCCAGGGGAGCAAACGGG